UUGUGCUUCUCAGUAAAUAUCAGUAAAAGCAAAGUUUUGUUGUCUGAAUUGGAUAAGGACAAAUCAGAUAACAUUAACCCAAUUGCAAUUGCUAUUCUUACACAGCAGAACCUGGACCAGGAUUCCUCUGACCACAACUCUGACAGUGGCUCAGAAGACGCACAUGACGGUGGUGGGAUUACUAACCUGGACCAGGAUUCCUCUGACCACGACUCUGACAGUGGCUCAGAAGACGCACAUGACGGUGGUGGGAUUACUAACCUGGACCAGGAUUCCUCUGACCACGACUCUGACAGUGGCUCAGAAGACGCACAUGACGGUGGUGGGA